rnacentral:rRNA from 1 species
UAAGUGGGAAACGAUGUGGGAAGGCCCAGACAGCCAGGAUGUUGGCUUAGAAGCAGCCAUCAUUUAAAGAAAGCGUAAUAGCUCACUGGUCGAGUCGGCCUGCGCGGAAGAUGUAACGGGGCUAAACCAUGCACCGAAGCUGCGGCAGCGACGCUUAUGCGUUGUUGGGUAGGGGAGCGUUCUGUAAGCCUGUGAAGGUGUGCUGUGAGGCAUGCUGGAGGUAUCAGAAGUGCGAAUGC